rnacentral:rRNA from 1 species
UACGAAGGGGGCUAGCGUUGUUCGGAAUCACUGGGCGUAAAGCGCACGUAGGCGGACCUUCAAGUCAGGGGUGAAAUCCCGGGGCUCAACCUCAGAACUGCCUUUGAUACUGUUGGUCUUGAGUCCGGAAGAGGUGGGUGGAAUUCCUAGUGUAGAGGUGAAAUUCGUAGAUAUUAGGAAGAACACCGGUGGCGAAGGCGGCCCACUGGUCCGGUACUGACGCUGAGGUGCGAAAGCGUGGGGAGCAAACAGG